GCGGUGUAGAUGUACCCCUGUCCCCUGAACGCGGAGUGAACGAAUUGAUCAUGAUGAUCUGGAGGGGUGUUCUGCAUUUGUUUCUUAUUUUGAUCUGCGAAGCGAAGAAGCCAGAUGAGCAUGGACAAGGGUCCGCCAAUGCAGCGACGGGCAGCACUCGUGGAUCCGUUCAGGCGAAUGAGUUGAAAGCAUCAAUUACGCCAAGCACUCUCCUGAAAAAAGCGACGGAGCAACAAGAAAUUACGCACUCGUUUGGG
rnacentral:lncRNA from 1 species